rnacentral:misc_RNA from 1 species
GCUGAUCUCUCUGCUUGCACCAAAGCUGAAUCGCCAGGUUCCGUGCCCCCACCUCCAGGAGUGCCAGGAAAUGAUGGCAGCAGAAUGGCGUGGACUGGAUUUUCUGGCUUGCUCUUAUUAUGGGUCUCUUCUCUAUUUUAUUAGGCCACUUGCCACCAACAUUGGACUUUGAAGAUAUGAUUAUUAUAAUAAUUAAUAGUAAUAUAUACGUAUAUACAUACGUGAUGAUGAGAUCAUUCAUGCAUUAGGGAGCUGUAUUACUAUUUCCAUCAGUUGGAGAUUUUGUUAUUCUCUUGUUUAAUAUCCCAUUUAUUUGAACAUUGUUGUCGCUGUAUUUCUCCUAUUUGUUAUA